UCCCUGGUAGCUCAGAUGGUAAAGCGUCUGCCUGCAAUGCAGGAGACCUGGGUUCGAUCCCUGGGUCGGGAA
rnacentral:tRNA from 1 species